AGCAGCCGCGGUAAUUCCAGCUCCAAUAGCGUAUAUUAAAGUUGUUGCAGUUAAAAAGCUCGUAGUUGAAUUUCGGGAUCAGUAGGUUGGUCAUACCUCUGGUAUGUACUGGUCUCACUGAUUCCUCCCUCUUGAAGAACUGUAAUGUCAUUAAUUUGAUGUUGCGGGGAAUCAGGACUGUUACUUUGAAAAAAUUAGAGUGUUUAAAGCAGGCUCACGCUUGAAUACAUUAGCAUGGAAUAAUGAAAUAGGACGUAUGAUCCUAUUUUGUUGGUUUCUAGGAUUGACGUAAUGAUUAAUAGGGAUAGUUGGGGGCAUUAGUAUUCAAUUGUCAGAGGUGAAAUUCUUGGAUUUAUUGAAGACUAACUACUGCGAAAGCAUUUGCCAAGGAUGUUUUCAUUAAUCAAGAACGAAAGUUAGGGGAUUGAAGACGAUCAGAUACCGUCGUAGUCUUAACCAUAAACUAUGCCGACUAGGGAUCGGAUGAUGUUAAUUUUUUAAUGACUCAUUCGGCGCCUUA
rnacentral:rRNA from 1 species